rnacentral:rRNA from 1 species
CAGUCGCCACGGGAAUACGAAGGGUGCAAGCGUUAAUCGGAAUUACUGGGCGUAAAGCGUGCGUAGGCGGUUUGUUAAGUCUGUUGUGAAAUCCCCGGGCUCAACCUGGGAAUGGCAAUGGAUACUGGCAAGCUAGAGUGUGUCAGAGGAUGGUGGAAUUUCCGGUGUAGCGGUGAAAUGCGUAGAUAUCGGAAGGAACACCUGUGGCGAAAGCGGCUCACUGGACCAUUACUGACGCUGAGGCGCGAAAGCUAGGGGAGCAAACAGGAUUAGAUACCCCAGUAGUCCCUGUCUCUUAUAC